rnacentral:RNase_P_RNA from 1 species
CGGGAAACUGACGUUGACGUCCUUCGGGAGACUGACAAAGGGGAGGAAAGUCCGGGCUUCAUAGAGCAAGGUGCCAGGUAACGCCUGGGGGGCGCAAGCCUACGACAAGUGCAGCAGAGAGAAGACCGCCGAUGGCCCGCAAGGGAACAGGUAAGGGUGAAAGGGUGCGGUAAGAGCGCACCGGACGACUAGUAAUAGUUCGUAGCAGGGUAAACUCCACCUGAAGCAAGACCAAAUAGGCCUCCACAUUGCGUUGCUCGCGUAAGGAGGCGGGUAGGUUGCUCGAGCCAG